rnacentral:lncRNA from 1 species
UUUGGAAGAAAUUAGGACUGAAGCACGAGGUGAGGUGUGAGACCAUGUGUCGUUGGAAGUGCGAAACUGAAGGGCGUAGUCAGUGGAGGUGAAUAUGAAGUAAGGUUAGUGAUUGUGCUUUAUUUUGUGGUUUUUUAUGGUUGGAAAACCAAAAUAUUAGGUGGUGGUAUCCCAUGGUUUCAAUGCUUUGCUUUGCGUUGUUGAUUGUGAUAUGGUG